GAAACAAGGCCAAAAACCGUCCCUCAUCCCUCAUUUUCUUCUUUUCUUUUGGCCUAAGAGAGAGAUAGCAAAAUCUCUCAACCCUCUCGACGCGGCCACCGCCGAAGAAGGCGCCGGUCGACACCGAUCACCGUUCAUCGGCGAAGAGAAGGAGAAAGAAAACCACCAAAUAAAGUAUUCUCAUAUACUGAAUAAGGAUUCAGGCUCCGAUUAGCCCAAAAGUGCCUCAAACGCCGUAAAUCUAAGGGGAUCUCUUCGGUUUCUUUGACCCCGACAACCCUUGAGAUAACCGGCGAGCGUCGAGGUAGUUCCCUUUUUUUGUUGAUAUAUGGUGAUUUGGUUAGUUGACGAGGAGAGGGGAACUAUGGUGAUAGGGCAUGGUGAGUUCAGGAUGGCGAUAUGGGCACGGGUAAGGACUUGGCAGGGAUUUGGUGGCAGCAGGGUAUGUUGUGGUGGCAGGACGACUGGGGGCCUCAGGGAAACCGACCUGGCAUGCGCAUGGGAGUUGGAAGGACACGUGACGGCGACGAGCUCGUGACAGCAAGGGAAGCCCUAAUUCGGGUUGCAUCCAUCCGUUAGAUGGGGAGUGGCUGCGAAGAGAAGGGUUUAAAAACCCUAAUCAUUGGUUGAUCUAUGUCGUUAGAUCAUCCCCAUAUCUAACAUCUCAUGUUUGUACGACGCUAGGCAAAAAACCCUAGCGGGUUUGGGCUCUCAAACAGACUUCACUCCUACUGAGCUAGCUGAUCUGACGAGUCUGGGCCCAAACCGAACAUGCUGCUCCAAUUGCCCUGGUAUCCUAGGCUUUGUACAUUUGAUCUGUAAAAUAAUAAAUAAAUAAAAUAAAAGUAUUUUAUUAAUG